rnacentral:rRNA from 1 species
UACGUAGGGCGCAAGCGUUGUCCGGAAUUAUUGGGGCGUAAAGAGCUCGUAGGCGGUUUGUCGCGUCUGCUGUGAAAACCUCAGGCUCAACCUGGGGCUUGCAGUGGGUACGGGCAGACUAGAGUGCGGUAGGGGUGACUGGAAUUCCUGGUGUAGCGGUGGAAUGCGCAGAUAUCAGGAGGAACACCGAUGGCGAAGGCAGGUCACUGGGCCGCAACUGACGCUGAGGAAGCGAAAGCAUGGGGAGCGAACAGG